AUUGAACGCUGGCGGAAUGCUUUACACAUGCAAGUCGAGCGGCAGCGCGGGGCAACCUGGCGGCGAGCGGCGAACGGGUGAGUAAUGCAUCGGAACAUGUCCAUUUGUGGGGGAUAGCCCGGCGAAAGCCGGAUUAAUACCGCAUGAGCCCGAGAGGGGAAAGUGGGGGACUCGCAAGGGCCUCACGCGAAUGGGUUGGCCGAUGUCCGAUUAGCUAGUUGGUGGGGUAAAGGCUCACCAAGGCGAUGAUCGGUAGCUGGACUGAGAGGAUGAUCAGCCACACUGGGACUGAGACACGGCCCAGACUCCUACGGGAGGCAGCAGUGGGGAAUUUUGGACAAUGGGGGAAACCCUGAUCCAGCCAUUCCGCGUGAGUGAAGAAGGCCUUCGGGUUGUAAAGCUCUUUUGUCCGGAGCGAAACGGUUGUGGUGAAUAUCCACGACUACUGACGGUACCGGAAGAAUAAGCACCGGCUAACUACGUGCCAGCCGCCGCGGUAAAAC
rnacentral:rRNA from 1 species